UGGUGCAUGGCCGUUCUUAGUUCGUGGAGUGAUCUGUCUGCUUAAUUGCGUUUCAUAUUUACGAAUGUCGCUUACGUGAUUGCUGCAGACCUCGUCUCUUUAUUGAGUGCGACGCGUCUCUUCAACUCACUCGCACAUUCUCUUGAACGCAACGAGCGUGACCGCAACCUCUUGUUGUGUAUACCAAGUGUGUCGUUGCUUGCAACUCACACUCCAAUGCACGUAUUUUGGUCACAUUGUCUCGGCCGUCGCGCGCAGCCUCGGCUGUGUCGGCGCCAGCAAUGUCCAAAUAAACUGAGGACCGCGUAACA
rnacentral:rRNA from 1 species